AUAGUUACCAGGCAGUAGGAAUACCACAUUCAGGAAUGUGAUUUUCCAAGGGUGGGGGUGUUCUAUUGCAAAUUUUGAUUUGUUUUGUUUCUUUGAUUUCAGAAAUUGUGGUAACCUGGAAUGUAUAACUUUUGGUGGGGGGCUGAAUUCACACCGUUUCCUG